rnacentral:lncRNA from 1 species
CUUGGUUAAAAUAUUGGAGACAGAUUAAAUGUUAAGCCACUAUAGUAGUGACUCUGGUUCUUUAGACUAUUGCAUGUACCUUGUUAAUGAACUACAGGAAUGCACAUUGAUAUAAUGCACAAUGUCUUCACAUGUCUCAAUCCUCAUUCCUCUUCCUUUCAUGCCUCCCUAAUGCCUCAGUAUCCAAUAUAAAACUACAAAAACUACUGUUCUUUUCGUUUGAG